AUUGAACGCUGGCGGCAGGCCUAACACAUGCAAGUCGAACGAGUGGCGGACGGGUGAGUAAUGUCUGGGAAACUGCCUGAUGGAGGGGGAUAACUACUGGAAACGGUAGCUAAUACCGCAUACCAUCAGAUGUGCCCAGAUGGGAUUAGCUUGUUGUUGGGGUAACGGCUCACCAAGACGACGAUCCCUAGCUGGUCUGAGAGGAUGACGAGCCACACUGGAACUGAGACACGGUCCAGACUCCUACGGGAGGCAGCAGUGGGGAAUAUUGCACAAUGGGCGCAAGCCUGAUACAGCCAUGCCGCGUGUAUGAAGAAGGCCUUCGGGUUGUAAAGUACUGUCAGCAGAGAGGGGUUACCCACAGAAGAAGCACCGGCUAACUCCGUGCCAGCAGCCGCGGUAAUAC
rnacentral:rRNA from 1 species